UUUCACACACAUCAUCACGAGAUCACAGACAGCAACAGAUGUGUUAUGUCAAAAGGCGGUUAGCUUGUUUUCAGUCUCAAAGCCGACAGACGCGACAAACCGAUCACAACAAACUAUAGAAGUGAAACUUUCUUUCAAUUCAAUAAACCACGACGGAUAUAUUGAGAUAUAUAUCCAUCUCAUUCGGGAAAUUUUCUGUCACAUAUUUUUAUAAUGGGCGACAAGUUAAAAAUUUUGGUUUCCGGUGAUGUCCGUGGAAAAUUCAAGUCUCUCAUGAAGAGAGUGUCCUCUGUCAACGAGAAAAGUGGUCCAUUUGAUUAUCUACUUUGUGUCGGUGACUUUUUUGGGCCAUCUGACGAUGAAUGGAACAUGCUGAAGAGUGGCAAGAUUGAGGUUCCCAUCACUACAUAUGUUCUUGGUCCAAAUGAUGUGGAACACACCGUAAAAUAUUCCGACAUCAAUGGUUGUGAACUCUGCCCCAACAUAAGUUAUUUGGGUAAACGGGGGGUUUUUACGACUAGUAAUGGAUUGAGGAUUGCUUACAUUAGUGGUAAAAGCGACGGUUUGUCUGAUUGCUCUUUUUCUGAGAGUGAUGUCACAUGUGUACGAGAUGUAUGUUUAAAAGGGCAGGCAAACUUCAAGGGUGUAGAUGUUCUUGUUACUUCAUCGUGGCCACAAGAUAUUUCAAAAUUUCAUGAUAAAGCUGACAAAGAUCUUCCAGUUGGUUCACAUCUAUUAUCAUGGUUAUCAGCUCACAUCAAACCUAGGUACCAUUUCUCAGGCCUUCAUGACAAGCAUUAUGAACGUUCGCCAUACAAGAAUGAAUCUGCCCAAGGAGAUACAUCUCAACAUAAUACAAGGUUUCUUGCUCUAGCAUCUGUUGGCAAUCCCACUAAACAGAAAUGGUUGUAUGCACUUAGUAUAGUUCCAAUGGAGCAUAUGCGUGCAUCCGAGUUGUAUCAGGGCACAACGGAUGAGACUAUGUCACCAUUUUCUGGGCUUGUCCGUCUUUCAAAUCCAAGGGGAGUUCAGGAAAAGUCAACACAAUUCUUUUAUGAUAUGAAUGCCUCAUCAGAUAGCAGGAGAGGGAAACGUGGAAGAAAUGAUGAUGGAGGCCAGGAGAGGAAAAAACGGGAAAGACCUGUUUUUGACCAGGAAAAAUGUUGGUUUUGUCUUUCAAGCCCUCAAGUUGAAAAACAUCUUGUCAUUAGUAUCGGAACUGAGGCAUACUUAGCUUUGGCCAAGGGAGGUAUUGUUGAUGAUCAUGUUUUGAUUCUCCCUGUAACACACCACCAGUCAACUGCGGAGGCCUCACAAGAACUUUUAGAUGAAAUUGAAAGGUUUAAAGAGGCUUUAAAAAAAAUGUGCUCCAAACAGAAAAAAGCUGUGGUUUUUUAUGAACGUAACUAUAAGACAUCUCACAUGCAAAUUCAAGCCAUUCCAAUUCCAGAGAAUGCUACAAGAGAAUUGCGAGAAGUUUUUCAGGAUUGCGCUCAAGCAGAGGGCUUUGAGUUAGAUGAACUUCCUAAACAUGCCAAACUAGACCAAAUUGCUGGUGCAGGAGUUCCAUACUUCCAUGUAGAGCUCCCCAGCGGAGAUAAACUCUAUCAUCGAAUUCGCAAAAACUUUUCCUUAAAUUUUGGACGGGAAGUCCUUGCCAGUGGACCUAUUCUGAACAAGGAGGGUGCUGCAGAUUGGCGUGAUUGUAAACAAGAUAAAGAAGAUGAAUGUGCCCUUGUGAAACGUUUUAGAGCAGCAUUUUCACCCUAUGACUUUACUCUUGAAUAAAAAGUUAUCUUCUAGUUUGUAAUUAAAAUAGCAAAAACAAAACAAGUAAAAACAUUUUUUGUGACUGUUGUUGCUGUUGCUGUUGCUGCGAUGUAGAGAAACCUCCAAAAUUGCUCCCAAAAUUACCAGCAUUUGAUGGGUAUAGUCCUCCAUAGCUCAAGGGACCUCCCAUUUGUCCAUAUGGAGUAGGAGCCAAGUAUGGUAAAGAUGGAAAACCUCCAAAAGCUCCUAAUGGAUUAGGGAAGAAGCUCCCUAUAGGACUUAAGGAAAGAGGCACACCACUGAAAAAGCGUGAAGAUGAUUUCCCCUGCCACACAACCGAUUUUAGUUAAAAAUGGAAACCAAUUAGUCACCUAUAUAAAACUUAAAAUCUGUCCAAUCUUACCUCAUUUUUACCCACAGCAUGUACAGUUGGACCAUGGGAUACUUUAGGUUCUUUGCCAAAGCUGGUAGCACUUUUCUUUGAAGCUGUAGUUAAACAAAUAGUUGCACUUGCCAUCAAGAAAAGUACUACGACCACAAAAUUAAAUUUCUAGAAAAUAUUUAAGAUUAAAAUUAAAUUGUAUUCUCCAUUUUUACUCGUUCUUUACCUCCCCUUACUUUAUAUACCGUGAGGUAAAAAGAACGAGUAUUGUCCUUGGUGUGGUAUAAUUUAGAAACAUCUGUUCAUCUCUGUAAGUAAGGAGCUUACAAGUAUGAAUGAAUGCUUAUUCUACUCAGGGAAUCAGCCCUGAUAUUCCAUAAUAGAGGUUUUUUUCAGUUACCAGUCAAAAAUUUUACUGCCUAGUAAAAAUUUCUAAGUGUUUUUAAGCUAUGAGCUAUGUGGUAGUGACUGUGAGUGCACCAUUAUAUUAUUAUACUGAGUUACUAAAUUACUCGUAUGUAUGGCAUACACACUUAUUUGGUUACUAGUUGAUUUUUUUUUAUACAAAAUUAACUUUUUGCAAAACACCCUUGUAAGAUAAAAAGAGACACUUUGCAAACACCCAAAUCAAAAGUAUCUUCCUGGGAGCUAUAGCAAGCCAGUGGCGCCAUCUGCUGUUAGAAAACGACCCCGGGCCGGCCUUCAAACAAAAGAAUGAACUCAACAAUGUAUAGGGAGAAAAGUUGGUAGGGUAGAAGGGAAGACCUGAUCAUGGUCUACUAUUAUCUGUGAAAAGUGCAAUAAUCUGGUUGGUAUAUUAUUAAAACUGAUACCCUCAUACUUAAAAACUUAUUGCUUAAAAAGGUGUGUAUGAAUUGCAUAAACUUUAACUAAUAUCUGAUGUGUCUGUCACUAACAUUUCUCUUCUAGCCAUGUCACGUUACGUUACGUUAUGUUUGAAAGGAACUGGAAAAUGAAAAUAUGCUAUUAACGAACUGGAACCCUGACACUAACAUUUCUCAUUUAGCCAUGUUUGAGAAAUAUGUUUGAAACAAAUUGGAAAAUGAAAAUAUGCUAUACACGAACUGAAACCCUUGUGAAAUUACACAAUAAAAACCAUUUUAGAUUCCUAUGACUUCCCCACCAACAAUUACAGUCGCUAUUAGAUUUUACAAUUUUGAUAAAAAUAGCCCGACAUACUUCGGAUUCUUCUGUUGCAAAGUGAAUCUCAUUAUCUUAAAGGGUGUUUUGCAAGAAGUUGAUUAUGUAUGAAAAAGACUAAACCAGUAACAAAAUAGGUAUGCAUGCCAUAUACAUAUGAGUAAUUCAGUAUAGUGAUACAAUACUGCAUAUUUACAAUCAUAACCACAUGAAAGUUUGCUAAAUUGUUGCUAAAUGUUUCACUACAACUUUACUAACUUAUAAUAGAUGUUUCUAUGUUGUCACACAUCACUGAAAACACAUCAUAUAUUCAGGGUUGGAGUAAAGAACGAGUUUAUCUUUUUAACAGCAAAUUAAUUUGAUGUUUCCUGUGCUCCUUGUUU